rnacentral:rRNA from 1 species
AAAUUGAAGAGUUUGAUCAUGGCUCAGAUUGAACGCUGGCGGCAGGCCUAACACAUGCAAGUCGAACGGUAACAGGAAGCAGCUUGCUGCUUUGCUGACAAGUGGCGGACGGGUGAGUAAUGUCUGGGAAACUGCCUGAUGGAGGGGGAUAACUACUGGAAACGGUAGCUAAUACCGCAUAACGUCGCAAGACCAAAGAGGGGGACCUUCGGGCCUCUUGCCAUUGGAUGUGCCCAGAUGGGAUUAGCUAGUAGGUGGGGUAACGGCUCACCUAGGCGACGAUCCCUAGCUGGUCUGAGAGGAUGACCAGCCACACUGGAACUGAGACACGGUCCAGACUCCUACGGGAGGCAGCAGUGGGGAAUAUUGCACAAUGGGCGCAAGCCUGAUGCAGCCAUGCCGCGUGUAUGAAGAAGGCCUUCGGGUUGUAAAGUACUUUCAGCGGGGAGGAAGG